AAUGCGCCUUAAUCUUCAGCCCUCUUUUUUCUUUUUCAUGAAAUAAUUACCCCAAUAGUAAGGAUGAGGAAUUGUAACAAAUUCCUACCUAGUGAUUGAAUUUUGAUCAUUAUUUGUUUUUAGAACUGUGGUGAAUCAGAAUGUACCAUGUAUGGGAACACUGAAUAAAGAACUACAAGUGCUUUGUCGUCCAGAUAGUCUGUGAUGUGUCAAGACGCGGAGUGGGACCCAAGUGCAGUGAUGAGAAACUUACAGGAAACAAGGAGUGGAGCAAGGUACAAUAUUUCAUCAUUAACUGUCACGUUCAGCACUCUGUGCUCUCUUAUUCUGUCUGUUCCGCCUGCUUUUAUUUUGUUCACCCCCUGUAGUUUCCUUUUCCUUUGUCCCAUCCUGCUUAAUGGCAGCGCAGCCGUCAUCAACUCCUGUGGUGUGUGUCACCUGGCGAGCUCCAGGCUACUGGCUGCUAGAUGGUCACUUCGUGUCAUUCGGUAAAUCUCCCAAGACUGAUCUUCCUCCUUGUUGUUCUGAAUUUUUCUAGAUUCCUGCGUGCGCUUGAAUUUCUCUUCAGCCGCUUCCUGAGUUUCGCUUUCUCCUCUUGCUCCGCUUCUGUUUUCAUCUCCUCAAUUCUUCCAGACUGCGUGUGAGUGUUCUAAAACUCACUUUUCAUUUAUCGAUUGUUGUGUAGAUUUUUCCCUUCGUGUGAGUUUGAGUCUUCUCCACGUCGCGCUCUUAGUUGCUUGGACCUCGUGAGUUUAUAUCCGAGCGUGUUUGAGUUCUCCCUGUUUUUGAAGGUUGAAUCUAAUUCACCUCUCUUUUGUUGCAGAUUUUUCCCCAGUCCCUCUGUGUAUUUCCCGGUUCGUGUUUUGACUCCGGCGCCUUCAGUUCCUGUCUUCGUUGUCUGUGUUUAUUGUAACUUGUCCAUUAAAUGUAUUAAUUUAAUAUCGUUGUCCGUGCCUUCUGUCAACCUGCCAUCAUCUGCACCUGGGUCACUUCUUAGGCAAACAUGACAGAACCAUCUAGUCAAAUUUUUGACCCAGCAGUGGUUGUGGGUUUGCACAAGGCUUUAGGCAUUCAGGGCCCGACUCUUGAGAGAGUAAUGCAGAGCGUCCUGGAGCAGCUGCAGAGCAGCUCUUCCGUCGUUGACCGUCUACCUGCACUUCUGUUGAACCUGGCGUCUCCACACCAGCUUCAACAGCGGGCUCUGCAGCUGAACCAGCACACCUGAAGCUGGCUGGAACAAGCCUGCUCUCAUGUCUGCUUUCUGUCAUGGCUUGGCUAGUGUCAUCCAGGACCAACUCUCCCUCCUCUUGAGGAACUCAUUUUACUUUCUGUCCGUACAGACAACAGUAUGAAACGGUCCACUCCACAUAUGGUGUUUCCAGUCCCGCUCUAACCACCAGAACCUCGACUGUAUGUCCGUGAACCUGCUGUUCUUCCCGUUCCUCAGCUUCCAGGAGAUCUCCCUGAACCCAUGCAGGUGGGGAGGACGAGACUAACACCAAAUAUGUGACUGAUGACGGCCCUUGCAUCACUAGGAACGAGUGGCUGAGGUUCUCUGAGCAGAAGGAUUUCAGCAACAUCACUUGAAGUCCGUUGUAUGCACAGUCCAAUGGAAAAGCUGAGAAAGACUGAAUCAUGGAUCGACAUCCUCACAUUCCAUAUGUUGCGGUGAUGUUUCAUCUUGUUUACACUGUGGAGAGGAGGACGAGGCCCCUUAAACAGGAAGUGAG